rnacentral:tRNA from 1 species
GGCCUGCUAGCUCAGUCGGUUAGAGCGUCGUGCUAAUAACGCGAAGGUUCGUAGGUUCGAUCCCUGCGCUAGGCCA